GAUUCGGCAGCACUUCUGCAAAGGAUCUGAUGGGGUCCCUGGGAUGCUCAAUGGUGGGCAAGCCCACGUAAACCAUUGCGAACCAAGACGCUGGCUGCCGUGAAACACCCGCUCAACGCCCGGGCACUGGGCUUGCCUCAUACAGGCAGUUUGUUCAGCCCUGGCCUCAGGACCAGACGCUGGGGCCAAAGCAGAUGCCCAUCAGACGGCCGCAGACGAUGAGAAUUACAUGGCACCACUCAGCUCACCAGCUGUGCACCUCCAGGGGCUUCCGUUGGGGCCUCGUUCUGACGUCUUUCUGAGAUCCAGCAGCGACCUGGCUUCGGGCCAGCCUCCCUUAUCUGAAUCUCACGCAAGCAGCAUGUGUGUGACAGUACCCAUUCCAUCUUCAUCAUGCCCAAGAGUUUCAGCUCCGGGUUCUCUUCUGAAGCUGGAAAUCUUCUCUGGGAGGCCGUUUCCCCAUUAAAACAGCGGUGUCUAGAUUGGAAAGGGGAGGGUGGGCCUUCCAUGACUCAGGGCUAAAGGACAACAGGAGCAAACAUAAAAGCUGGCUAUGAUGGGGCGUCUGGCCUGGCUCCUGCCAUCCAGGGGACAGAUGGGUUGUGGAGUGACGCUGGGCAGGCAACACUCUGGACUCUCAGGGCGAUGAGGAGGGUCCCACAUUCAUGCAUUUCCCAAAGGAAGUUUCCAGGAUUGUACCAAGACCUCACAUGGAUACGUCCUAAGCACUGGCAUUUACUGAGCGUGCCGUUCUGAGCUGGUGAGCCAGAGGGAUGAGAACUCUGCCUGGAGAAGUGGGUGCCCAGCAUGUAUGUCAAGGCUUGGCCCGGACCUGAGGGAGUCCUUGCUGAACGUGCGGUGCAGGACUUACAUUUCAGGGCUAACGUUUGCCACGAAAACCAGCCCAACGUGGGACAUGAAAGCAUCUUAGCCGCAGCAGCCGAGUCCAGCAAUGUGGACAGCCAGACGCAUGCUUGGUGGAG
rnacentral:lncRNA from 1 species